CCCUGCUGAAGCUGCAGGGCAUCGAUGACUUGAACUUCAAGCUGCUGCUGUUGGGAAUCGCCACGCUCAAUUUCUUCGCUGCCUUCGUGCUGGAGACUGCACUGGACUAUGGAUUGCUGGGCUGCUUGCGUAAGCUGCGCCGGAAGAAAGCAUCCAGCAAGCUGUUCAAGAGGCUGGAGAAGGAUCUGAGCCAGCAACCCUCCUGGCCGCCCCUUAACGAACCACUCUUUGCUACCCCUCGGAUGUCCAUCGCUGUGAGAUAGCACACACCAAACUCCACUCCUCCCUGCCCUGCAGGGGAGCACCACACUCCUCUAUUUAUUUCUCCUGGUCCCACCGAGGGCAGUUGGUGCCUGGCUCCAUGUCCAUCCCAUGGGAUGCAGCAUGCAGACUGAAGAUGAUCCCAUCUUCCCAAUGGGGAGACCCUCAGCCUCACAGCCACGAAGCCAUAUGCUCCAGAAACCACAUGCUUGGUCCUAUGGCCCCACAAGAAGUGGUGGGAGAUGCUGGAGCUGAGAACUCGGGGGUCCACCCGGGGGUGCCACCUGCCUUCUGCCUCCAGCACCGUGCCCUCCUGCCUGGUCAGAGCUCUGAAUUAAAGGGUCCUUCUGCUCGUGCUGCCGGUGGUGGCACCCACUGUGGCCUCAGGGCUCUGCUCACUGUGAAGGAAACCUCCUCCCUCCCUGCUGGCCACCUCGAUGUGUAGGAAAUGUUUACAAACCACUCCGGC
rnacentral:lncRNA from 1 species